rnacentral:rRNA from 1 species
GAUGAACGCUAGCGGCAGGCCUAAUACAUGUAAGUCGAACGGUGUCUUCGGACAUAGUGGCGCACGGGUGCGUAACACGUAUGCAACCUACCUUACAUUGGGGGAUAGCCUUUCGAAAGGGAGAUUAAUACCGCAUAAGACAGUAGCUGGGCAUCCAGCAGCUGGUAAAGAUUUAUCGAUGUAAGCUGGGCAUGCGUCCAAUUAGCUAGUUGGUGAGGUAACGGCUCACCAAGGCAAUGAUUGGUAGGGGAACUGAGAGGUCAAUCCCCCACACUGGCACUGAGAUACGGGCCAGACUCCUACGGGAGGCAGCAGUAGGGAAUAUUGGGCAAUGGGCGCAAGUCUGACCCAGCCGUGCCGCGUGCAGGAUGAAGGCGUUAUGCGUUGUAAACUGCUUUUAUACAGGAAGAAACGACUCUUGCGAGAGGCAUUGACGGUACUGUAUGAAUAAGCACCGGCUAACUCCGUGCCAGCAGCCGCAGUAACAC